CAGCCGUAAACUAAUGCGCGUUAGGUGUAUCGGUGACCACGAGUUACCGAGGUGCCGAAGGGAAACCGUGAAACGUGCCGCCUGGGAAGUACGGUCGCAAGGCUGAAACUUAAAGGAAUUGGCGGGGGAGCACCACAACAGGUGGAGCCUGCGGUUUAAUUGGACUCAACGCCGGGAAGCUCACCGGAUAGGACAGCAGAAUGAUUGCCGGGCUGAAGACCCUGCAUGACUAGCUGAGAGGUGGUGCAUGGCGUCAGUGACU
rnacentral:rRNA from 1 species